rnacentral:RNase_P_RNA from 1 species
GAAGUAUACCGAAUAGUCGCGUGGGAAACCACGAGGAAAGUCCGAGCUCCAUAGGGCAAGGGUGCUAGGUAACACCUAGUGGAGGCGACUCCAAGGAAAGUGCAACAGAGAGAUACCGCCAAUGACGGCAAGGGUGGAAAGGUGAGGUAAGAGCUCACCAGCGGUCAGGUGACUGACUCGGCUAUGUAAACCCCACUCGGAGCAAGACCAAGCAGGAUCAAGAAAGGGGGCUGCCCGCUCCUAUCCGUAGGUAGGUCGCUUGAGCUUCUUGGUGACAAGGAGCCUAGAUAGAUGGCUAUUCAAGACAGAACUCGGCUUACAGGUAUACUUUUUUU